UUCAGACGGCUUCCAUUGCUGUGGAGUGCAUUGAACGACAUCAUGGCCUAGAAGAACAUACCCGGGGAUAAUACCAGCAGCAACAAGUACCACGCAACCGCCAAAAUGCACGCCGCCAUUUUGAAGCAUGUCUGAGUGAACCGAUGGUUUCCAUGGAUUCCAUGAAGAUUCAUUGAUUUGUUGGUUUUUAAUUGUCCAAUUAUUUUUAAAAAUAAACAUUUUGGUGAA